UACGUAGGGUGCAAGCGUUAAUCGGAAUUACUGGGCGUAAAGCGUGCGCAGGCGGUUUUGUAAGUCUGUCGUGAAAUCCCCGGGCUCAACCUGGGAAUGGCGAUGGAGACUGCAAGGCUAGAGUUUGGCAGAGGGGGGUAGAAUUCCACGUGUAGCAGUGAAAUGCGUAGAGAUGUGGAGGAACACCGAUGGCGAAGGCAGCCCCCUGGGCCUGCACUGACGCUCAUGCACGAAAGCGUGGGGAGCAAACAGG
rnacentral:rRNA from 1 species